rnacentral:rRNA from 1 species
UACAGAGGGUGCAAGCGUUGUUCGGAAUUACUGGGCGUAAAGCGCGUGUAGGCGGUUUUUCAAGUCCUGUGUGAAAGCCCUGGGCUCAACCCAGGAAGUGCGCAGGAUACUGGAUGACUGGAGUGGCGGAGAGGAUGGCGGAAUUCCCGGUGUAGAGGUGAAAUUCGUAGAUAUCGGGAGGAACACCUGUGGCGAAGGCGGCCAUCUGGACGUUCACUGACGCUGAGACGCGAAAACGUGGGUAGCAAACAGG